rnacentral:rRNA from 1 species
GUGUCAGCCGCCGCGGUAAUACGUAGGGGGCAAGCGUUGUCCGGAAUUAUUGGGCGUAAAGCGCGCGCAGGCGGUCAUUUAAGUCUGGUGUAUAAACCAAGGGCUCAACCUUUGGACGCAUUGGAAACUGGGUGACUGGAGUGUAGGAGAGGAAAGUGGAAUUCCACGUGUAGCGGUGAAAUGCGUAGAGAUGUGGAGGAACACCAGUGGCGAAGGCGACUUUCUGGCCUAUAACUGACGCUGAGGCGCGAAAGCGUGGGGAGCAAACAGGAUUAGAUACCCCCGUAGUCC